rnacentral:rRNA from 1 species
CCUGGUUGAUCCUGCCAGUAGCAUAUGCGUGUCUCAAAGAUUAAGCCAUACAUGUGUAAGUACAGUGAAACUGCAAAUGGCUCAUUAAAUCAGUUAUGGUUCCUUUGAUCGCUCCAUCUGUUACUUGGAUAACUGUGGGAAUUAUAGAGCUAAUAUAUGCUGACGAGCGUGGACCUCCUGGGAUGCGUGCAUUUAUCAAACCAAGACCAAUCUGGGCUCGCCCGGCCGCUUUGGUGAUUCUAGGUUACCUCAGGCCGAUCGCACAACCAUGUGACCGCGAUGAUGCAUUCAGAUGUCUGCCCUAUCGACUUUCGAUGGCACUUUCUGUGCUACCAUGGUGACCACGGGUAAUGGGGAAUCGGGGUUCAAUUCUGGAGAGGGAGCCUGAGAAAUGGCUACCACAUCAAGGAUUGCAGCAGGAGCCCAAAUUACCCAAUCCCAACUCCGGGAGGUAGUGACGAAAAAUAACAAUACAGGACUCUUUUGAGGCACUGUAAUUGGAAUGAGUACACUUUAAAUCCUUUAACGAGUAGCCAUUGGAUGGCAAGUCUGGUGCCGGCAGCCGUGGUAAUUCUAGUUCCAAUAGCAUAUAUUAAAGUUGCUGCAGUUAAAAAGCUCGUAGUUCGAUCUUGGGAUCGAGCUGUUGAUCCGCCGCGAGGCGAGCUACCACUGCCUGUCUCAGCCCCCUGCCUCUUGAUGCUCUUGACUGAGUGUCCUGGGGGUCUGAAGCGUUUACUUUGAAAACAGUAAUGUUCAAAGCAGGCCGGUCGCCUGAAUACUUAAGCUAGGAAUAAUGGAAUAGGACACUGGUUCUAUUUUUGUUGUUUUUCGGAACUGGGGCUGUGAUUAAGAGGACGGCCGGGGGCAUUCGUAUUGUGCCGCUAGAAGUGACAUUCUUGACCAGCGCAGGGCAAACCUAAGUGAAAGCAUUAGCCAAUAAUAUUUUCAUUAAUCUACUUCCGUAGCUCCACACAUAAACUAUGCUGAUUAGCGAUCUGGCAGUGUUAUUCCCAUGACCCGCCAAGCAGCUUCUGUGAAACCAAAGUCUUUGGGUUAUGGGGGGAUGGUUGCAAAGCUGAAACUUAAAGGAAUUGAUGGCAGAGCACCACCAGGAGUGGAGCCUGCGUCUUGAAACCUC